rnacentral:rRNA from 1 species
GUCGAGAAUCUUUCACAAUGGGGGCAACCCUGAUGGAGCGACGCCGCGUGGAGGAUAAGGUCUUCGGAUUGUAAACUCCUGUCAUGCGUGAACAAGGUUGCUUGGUUAAUACCUGGGCAAAUUGAUGGUAACGCAAGAGGAAGAGACGGCUAACUCUGUGCCAGCAGCCGCGGUAAUACAGAGGUCUCAAGCGUUGUUCGGAAUCACUGGGCGUAAAGGGUGCGUAGGUGGCGUGGUAAGUCAGAUGUGAAAGCCCGGGGCUACACCUCGGAACUGCAUCCGAUACUGCCAUGCUAGAGUACUGGAGAGGUGACUAGAAUUCUCGGUGUAGCAGUGAAAUGCGUAGAUAUCGAGAGGAAUACCAAAGGCGUAGGCAGGUCACUGGACAGUUACUGACACUGAGGCACGAAGGCCAGGGGAGCGAACGGGAUUAGAAACCCGGGUAGUCC